rnacentral:lncRNA from 1 species
GGUCAGCCUAUGGACUUCCUGUGGACUGAGGAAGGAGACCAGAGCCACAGCGCAGAGCGCAGGGAUGAAGAUGAGCAGAGAGUAGGGACCCAUGGCAGCAAAAGCCAGGACACCUCCUCCAGCCAGGAGAAAGAGGAUCUAAGUUCUCAGCCUGAUGCCUCUGCCUGCCACCAUGCUUCCUGCCAAGAUGAUAAUAGACUCGCCCUCUAAAACUGAAUAAGGCCCCAGUUAGAUGCGUUCUCUUCUAAGACUUGCCUUGGUCACUGUGACUCUUCACAGCAAUAGAACAAUAACGAGGACAGUCUCAAACAGCUUGGCAACGGGGCUCUUCAAGAUCUGACUGAGUGUAAAUGAGAGUAGAAGAGCCAUCAACCCCACUUCCAAAGCACAUACCCUUUCCUCCCUCCUCACGCACGGCGUGCACACCCAGUGUGUAUUUCAGGGAGCUGGAGAGAGGAGACCCAGUGCGUCUCUUGGGCAAGUAUCUGCACUCAUGAGCAGCAAAUCUUGAUGUCAGCAUUUCGUCCUCACUACUGUACUUCGACUCUUAGGACCUCAUGAUUUGCUGUUUUGUUUUUAAGUUUUUAUGGUUUACCAACUCCGUUAUGAAAAUCUGCAAUUCCUGCGGAUCAGUCACUGCAGGAUCUCUUGUUCUUCUCUCCAGCACAGAACUGGUCCCUUCUCUGCUUUCUUCACUCUGUCCUCAGCUCCCCUAUUCCACUACCUUUCAGUCUUUCUUCAUCUCAUGCAAUCCGUGGCUUCCUUCUUCAUUGUGUAAGCCAAAGAACCAUAAAUGAUAUUGGUUGUCUUGCUAUCACCAAAUGAGAUGUGAGAGAAAUAAAGAAAACUUGCUGGA